rnacentral:rRNA from 1 species
UUCUCAAGGUUGACCUCGGAUCAGGUAGGGAUACCCGCUGAACUUAAGCAUAUCAAUAAGCGGAGG